UACGUAGGGGGCAAGCGUUGUCCGGAUUUAUUGGGCGUAAAGAGCGUGUAGGCGGUCAGGUAGGUCCGUUGUGAAAACUCGAGGCUCAACCUCGAGACGCCGAUGGAAACCAUCUGACUAGAGUCCGGAAGAGGAGAGUGGAAUUCCUGGUGUAGCGGUGAAAUGCGCAGAUAUCAGGAGGAACACCAAUGGCGAAGGCGGCUCGCUGGGCCAUUCCUGACGCUGGAGACGCGAAAGCUAGGGGAGCGAACAGG
rnacentral:rRNA from 1 species